AAUGAACGCUGGCGGCGCGCCUAAUACAUGCAAGUCGAGCGAGAAGACGUAGCAAUACGUUUGUAAAGCGGCGAACGGGUGAGGAAUACAUGGGUAACCUACCCUAGAGUGGGGAAUAACUAGCCGAAAGGUUAGCUAAUACCGCGUACGCUCCUUGGACUUCGGUUCAGGGAGGAAAGCGAUGCCGAGGGUAUCGCGCUCUUGGAUGGGCUCAUGUCCUAUCAGCUUGGGUGAGGUAACGGCUCACCAAGGCUUCGACGGGUAGCUGGUCUGAGAGGACGAUCAGCCACACUGGCACUGCGACACGGGCCAGACUCCUACGGGAGGCAGCAAGUAAGGAAUAUUGCGCAAUGGGCGAAAAGCCUGACGCAGCGACG
rnacentral:rRNA from 1 species